rnacentral:rRNA from 1 species
CCUACGGGAGGCAGCAGUGGGGAAUUUUGGACAAUGGGCGCAAGCCUGAUCCAGCAAUGCCGCGUGCAGGAUGAAGGCCUUCGGGUUGUAAACUGCUUUUGUACGGAACGAAACGGUCUGCUCUAAUACAGUGGGCUAAUGACGGUACCGUAAGAAUAAGCACCGGCUAACUACGUGCCAGCAGCCGCGGUAAUACGUAGGGUGCGAGCGUUAAUCGGAAUUACUGGGCGUAAAGCGUGCGCAGGCGGUUAUAUAAGACAGAUGUGAAAUCCCCGGGCUCAACCUGGGACCUGCAUUUGUGACUGUAUAGCUAGAGUGCGGCAGAGGGGGAUGGAAUUCCGCGUGUAGCAGUGAAAUGCGUAGAUAUGCGGAGGAACACCGAUGGCGAAGGCAAUCCCCUGGGCCUGCACUGACGCUCAUGCACGAAAGCGUGGGGGAGCAAACAGGAUUAGAUACCCUGGUAGUCCACGCCCUAAACGAUGUCAACUGGUUGUUGGGUCUUCACUGACUCAGUAACGAAAGCUAACGCGUGAAGUUGACCGCCUUGGGGAGUACGGCCGCAAGGUUGAAACUUCAAAGGAAUUGACGG